CGGGCGGUGCGGACCAGGCGCGGGCCAUGUGGCUGCAGCCCGCGUCCCGGAGUAGCAGCAGAAGCAGCGGCAGCAGCGGCAGCAGUUGGGGCCCGGGUCCCCGGGCGGUCUGAGCGGGGUCACGAGCCAUGGCGCGGAAGGCUGAGGGUCACAGAGGUGAAGUCAUUUGCCCAUGUCGACAAAGCUGGUUAUGACAGAGUUUGGAUGGGAAUGCGGAGCUUCUUGACUCAAACGCCCAGGCUUUGUCUACUGCUUCAGACUCUGGACCAGUGCUGUGCAAGAGAAAUAAAAGGCGAGCCACAAAUAUGAGCCAAAUGUGUCAUAUUUUCUCAGAGCCACAUCAAAGAAAAGAAAACCAGUUCACUUACUGAUGAUCACUUUGAGGACAGGAAAUGGUGGGGCACACUUACAAUCUAAGAAGAUAUUUUCCCAGAAGAGUCCGCGUUUCCUAAGUUUCUGAGAACAGCAAUUGGAGCGUUUUAAAAGUUCUCCUUAGUUCAUUGCAUCAUCUAGGCACUCGGUGCCUCCUCUGUCUGCCCUUCAGUCUUCAUGGCCGCAUGCUGACUGGCUCGUCUGCCUGAUGUACUCCUGUUUGAAAACUGGGCUGGUUCUUCCAGAUGGCUGCUUCAGUGAUUUAGUUCCUGCAGUUCUCUUCUCUAGGAAGCUUAUGCCCGGUUGAGCUGAUGGCUUGGAGCUCUGGGUACCUGGGCUUAUCUGUGAAAGCCCCAGCUAGGAUGCAUGAUGGACAGCUGGUCUUGAGGCAGAAGACAUGGCUGUAAAUCAAUAGUUGGUGUCAGAAGGCAGGACCCUUCAUGUUCACCUGCAUCUCCUCCAGCCCCUCUGGCUGACCCGGACUCUGCCUGACUUCAAGGAGGAGACCCCUUUUCCUGUAUCCAUUUAUUUAGAGGAGCUGACAAAUGGCUUCCUCUGAGCUCCCACUUUCUGCUGGGAUUUUCCAUUCCAUCCUCUGGCCUGUGCCAGUAAUAACAUUUUAUACUUGUCUGACACCUUUUCUCCUCUGAGCUCCAAGCACUUUACAAGCAAGCAGUUACACUAUUGCCCUCUGAAUUCUGAUGGGAAAGCUGAGAGUCAUGGGAUCAAAGCUACCAUGAUUGGGCAGUGAAGACAAGACUCCCAGACACCAGGCCAACCCUUGGCCCUUGGCAGGACCAGAGAGAGCACCCCUACUGCUGAGGAGGGGCAGGCCAGAGGAGGGCUUUCAGCAUGGGCUCCCCAGAGGCUUCCCGGAGCCUCUUACCCUGUUGUGAAGUGAUGCAUUGUCCUUUACUGCAGAAGAGAAUGGGGCCCCUGGGAUGCUUCCUUGGCAGGAAAGGUGAUCUGAUGGCUUGUGGUUUUUCUGGGAAUGAGAAGACUCAUGGAAUCUUUAGUGUCCUCAUCUUGUCUUGAGGAAGAGGAAGCAGAUCUGUAUUGCAUGGCCCAGGCAGCGGAAUAAGGUUCAGUUGCUACAGGUCUUUACCAGUCUAGUCCUUGCUGGCACUGAGAGCUGCUCAAAGGGGAGUUUGUUUGCAUCCCUGGUUGGGUCCCAAGGGAAGUGUCUCUAGUCGAUGCUGGGGAGAUGUCCUGCAUCACACGAGGCUAGGGAAGGGUGACACAUAAGUCCUCUUCCAACCCAGAUUUUGCAUUAUAAGGAUGGACUCUAGCACUAUCUCCUCUGGGUGGUGGAGGCUUUGGGCUGAGACCCUGAAACCCUGGGGCACGUCACCUCUUGCAGGAUCUGCAAAGCUCCUUAGUUCCCAUCUUCUCCUUCUUUUAUUUAGCAAAACUUGGUUUGAGGUCUGCAUUUUCCAUCUCCUGUAUGAAGCUUUGCUCAGAAGCAGCUCACUGUUUAACUAGAAAGAACAUCUGUGACCAUGAAAUUUUCAGCAACCAAAAAAUGCCCUGCUAAGUUAUAUUUGCUAAGCUACUGUCGGGAGUCAGCAGAAAGACAGAGAGAGAGAGAGAGAGAGAGAGAGAGAGAGAGAGAGAGAGAGAGAGAGAGAAAGAGUCUGUGUGAAUUCAGCUGCCCUCACUCAGGUGGCUGGAAACUGGCCCUCCUUUAUCUGUGAACACUGCAAACUGGGGAAGAAUUCAUGGAACUGUGAGUAUGGAGAGAUACCUGGCCAGAAAGAAACUGAGAAUCAGUCAUUCCUACCUCAGGGACCACAGAAGGAGGCAGACAGCUGGAAGGAUGAUGGGGUGUGUGUGUGUGUGUGUGAAUUAGGGAAGGGGAGGGGAUGACAUUUUCUGAACAGAUAGAAUUCUGAGCACAUCUCUCUGUGUUAAUGCUCACAUGGAACCUUUCAAAGCUUGGAGAAUGAGUAUUAUAAUUUUAUUUUCCCAGUGAGGGAUUAGAGGUCAAAUAAGCUGCCCACAGCCCCAGCACCAGCCAGAGCAGAACCGGGAUUUGAACCCAGUUAGUUGUCUUUGGCUCUGAUGCCCUUUCUCUUCUGUAUCCCUGCCUGCCUUCAAUGCAGGUGCCACAAAUGAAGUCCCACAGACCUCGUCUGACCGGCUCUGAGUCUUCCGGCUAGUCUGGCUGUCUGAGGCCCCAAGUGCUCUUUCUCAAGGGCUGGCUGCCUUGCAAGUCCCCAGAAGCCUCCGUGUCCACCCCUAUGUCUCCCCAAAUGCUCUAGAGAGCUCUGGGCCAAGGCCCAGGCCCAGCAGGGCAGCCCUUGUGCAGCUCUGUGGUUUGCGAUCUGGCCAUGCAUAGCUGGCUCUGAGCAAGAACUUAUCAUUCUUCCACGACCACCCAGUCAGCUCAACACUGCCUGGACGUGCAGCUCUAGCUGCCCAGGUUGGUGGCAGCUCAGCCCUCACUGGGCUCUGCUGCUCCCACUUGCUGUCUGCCACCCCCGCUGCAGCCAGCCCCGCCUGCCCAGCUGAGUGAGUGGUCGCUGGAGCCCAGAAACAGCAGGGUCUGAGCAUCCCCAACAAACCACAAAGAGGAUUUCACAAAUCAAAAGGACCAGAGAGAACAAAGCUGUCACAUCAGUCCAUCAUGGAGCCGGAUCUCAAAAUACCACCGGGCCAGAGUCCUGCCAGCUGUGAGUCACCACCCGGCCAGAGCAGCCACAGCAGGCCCCUGGCCGCAUGGAAAAACACCUCGGCGGCCAGCUGGCUGCUCUCUGCCCAGAUCUGGGAGGCACAGGGUGUCUGUGGGGUGGUUCCACACCUCCAUGCUGCAGUGUGGAGAGGAGUCCACCCGGUUUGCUGGCUGUAGGAGCAGGAGGGAGGGGACAAAGGAACGGCCAUAUCGACAAUGGAUUGGUGAGUGAGGACACUGUCCAGGCCUGUUUCAUCCCUCCAGUCCUGUUCCAAGCCUCUGGGAUAACCAGCAGCGUGAUGUCACCCUUUUUAUGCCUCCCUGUGGCCCUAUGCUGCUGGCCCACCUCUUCCCAGGUGACGAGGAGUUGGGUUCAGGUGCCUAAGUGAAUCCAGCAGCUCAUGGCACCAAUGGCAAUGGCAAUGCACAGACCAAGAGCCAACACUUGGUGUGCAGAGUCCCUCUUCAUGCACUGCUCCAGCUCCUACCCCAAGCCCUAUCAUGACACAUGGUGGGGAGGGACCUGGGGGCACACACACAGGGAUCAUGUCCUUUCAUAGGAGUUUAGGCAUUCUUCUGCAUUACUUCUCUUUCAUUCACCAUCCUGAGACCUCUCUCCUUCCAAAUAGCAUCCUUUGUUGCUCCUGGCUUUGAGGCCACGGCACAUGUGUCAAUAAAGAUGAAAUGGCCUGGAUGACAAAACACAAAGCGCUGAUCUUAUUUUUGUUGCCAGCCCAUUUCUUCCUUUGGUACCUCAUUUUCCUCAUUGUCAAUAUGAAGAGUGAGACAAGAUCUUACAGAGAUCUGGGGUGCCACCUGCCACCGCUCCCUGAGCUGGAGCCAUAGCAAAUUCUAAAGGGCUUUAUCUUUAGUGAACUGAACAUUAAUGAGGAGAAUAUGUUUUAUUCAGAUGAGGAGGCAACAAGGGCUCAAUUUAAGAGAAUAUAAGAUGUCAGUCCCAGCCCCUUCCCCUCUCUGAGUGCCCCCUUGCUGUCUUGUCGUUGGCGCUUUCCUCUAAAUCCUGGCCUUUCAGGCUAUGGACCCAUCAGAGCUGAGUGCUGGGGCACUGAUUUGAGGUUUCACUCACCACCUUGCCCUGCAGAAAUGCCCAGAACCUGCCCUGAACUUUUUUGCUUGCAGCCAGAGUCUCCUGCCCUCAGCUUGGAAUUGACCAGGUGGAGGCAUGAGUUAUAAUGCCCCUUUCCCCCUCUAUUCUGCUGUCCAUCCCUAUGCAGCCCCUCUCCAUGCUGCCCAUGGCCUCUGCUUGGCUGUUCUGGGCUGCUGUGUGAUCAAGCUUUCCUUCUCAGAGGCCAUGAUGCUGAAGGCGUGGAGAGAACCUGGAGUGGCAGAGUCCUGGCCACUGUGCAGUGACUUCUGCAGACCUGGGCCAGGAGGCCCUUAGGAGAGUGGGCAUGGGCUUCAGGCAGCGGGAUGAAGGCUAUUGAGCAGCAGCUCUGCAGAACAAGCAUAAGUGGUGACAUCCUCCCUGUCCCAGAUGCCACAGAGCACAGGGGUGUGCCCAUAUAUGUAUGUUCCUAGGUGAGGUGAAAGAAAAGCACUGGCCACCUGCCACCUACCAACCAUCACUAAGCUGAAGCCAUAACAAAUUCCUGAGUACCUAGUGUGCCUCUACCCAGCUGUCAAAGUCUCUGAGAGCUCAGAUACACCCGAGUCCGUUUGCAAGUUCAUAGGAAGGGGCAUGAAUCUUUGCUCUCUGUUGUUACCUGCCCUCCAAGGAAUCACUAACUGAAGCUAGAGAUUUGCCUCUUAAGAUUCCCCACUCUCUUCCCCUUUGGGUCCCCCCACCACUUACUUUAUUUAGUUAUUGUAUUCAGUAAAUACCUUUGAGGGAUCUGGAACUUUCCAUUUGGCAUAUAGAAACCGUGCAUUAGUUUGUAGCUACCCAAUUUGGGGGAUCCUGAGCGUCAGAGAUAAAUGUGUUCCUGUAAUUAACUUAAAAGUACCUGCUUCCCCUUGUAAGCAUAACCUAAAAAUUAUGUUUUAAAAAAUUAAAAUGAAAUUCACAUAACAUACAAUCAGCCGUUUUGAAGUGCACAAUUCAGUAAUAUUUAAUGUGUUCUCAAUACUGUGCAACUCCCAGCUGUCUAGUUUCAAAAAUUCUUCCUCACUCUACAAAAACACCUAUAUUUACUAAGUAAUCACUCCCCAUCCCACCUGCUGUCAUGCCCUUGUAACCUCUAAUCUGCUUCCCAUCUCUGUGGAUUUGCUUAUUCUAGAUAUAUCAUAUAAAAUAAACACAACAUGUGACUUUUUGUGUCUGAUAUCUUUCAGCA